CACAUGCAAGUCGAACGGUAACAGGAAGCAGCUUGCUGCUUUGCUGACGAGUGGCGGACGGGUGAGUAAUGUCUGGGAAACUGCCUGAUGGAGGGGGGAUAACUACUGGAAACGGUAGCUAAUACCGCAUAACGUCGCAAGACCAAAGAGGGGGACCUUCGGGCCUCUUGCCAUCGGAUGUGCCCAGAUGGGAUUAGCUAGUAGGUGGGGUAACGGCUCACCUAGGCGACGAUCCCUAGCUGGUCUGAGAGGAUGACCAGCCACACUGGAACUGAGACACGGUCCAGACUCCUACGGGAGGCAGCAGUGGGGAAUAUUGCACAAUGGGCGCAAGCCUGAUGCAGCCAUGCCGCGUGUAUGAAGAAGGCCUUCGGGUUGUAAAGUACUUUCAGCGGGGAGGAAGGCGAUAAGGUUAAUAACCUUGUCGAUUGACGUUACCCGCAGAAGAAGCACCGGCUAACUCCGUGCCAGCAGCCGCGGUAAUACGGAGGGUGCAAGCGUUAAUCGGAAUUACUGGGCGUAAAGCGCACGCAGGCGGUCUGUCAAGUCGGAUGUGAAAUCCCCGGGCUCAACCUGGGAACUGCAUUCGAAACUGGCAGGCUAGAGUCUUGUAGAGGGGGGUAGAAUUCCAGGUGUAGCGGUGAAAUGC
rnacentral:rRNA from 1 species